rnacentral:rRNA from 1 species
GACGAACGCUGGCGGCGUGCUUAACACAUGCAAGUCGAACGGAAAGGCCCUGCUUUUGUGGGGUGCUCGAGUGGCGAACGGGUGAGUAACACGUGAGUAACCUGCCCUUGACUUUGGGAUAACUUCAGGAAACUGGGGCUAAUACCGGAUAGGAGCUCCUGCUGCAUGGUGGGGGUUGGAAAGUUUCGGCGGUUGGGGAUGGACUCGCGGCUUAUCAGCUUGUUGGUGGGGUAGUGGCUUACCAAGGCUUUGACGGGUAGCCGGCCUGAGAGGGUGACCGGCCACAUUGGGACUGAGAUACGGCCCAGACGCCUACGGGAGGCAGCAGUGGGGAAUAUUGCACAAUGAGCGGAAGCCUGAUACAGCAACGCCGCGUGCGGGAUGACGGCCUUCGGGUUGUAAACCGCUUUCGCCUGUGACGAAGCGUGAGUGACGGUAAUGGGUAAAGAAGCACCGGCUAACUACGUG